GGGUGGGGAGCAAGGGCUUGAGUGUGAGUGUUGCAUGUACAUCACCUGCGGCAUAGGAUUGAUCAGUUCUGUUAUCCCUCAUCCCCGUAUACUGCUGUUAACAUGUUCAUCAAAUAUUAUGAUUAAUAUUUAUGAUGAUAUCUUUGACUAGGUUCUUUAUUGUUUUCUUAAAACAAUUUAAAUUUAAAAAAAUUAAAAUUUUAAAUUUAAAAAUUGAUUAUCAACACUGAUUUUAAUACCCAUUUCCCUCUCCCCCUCUUCAACUGCCACUCCCCAACAUUCUCAUCUCCCUAGCAACUGUUGCCAGGAGCACCCUCCAAUCUCUUGACUCCGCCCUUUCCCCCUUGCCUCCAGGAGUAUCUGCCACAGAAGGGAGCAUGAAAAUUAACAUCUACACCCAGUCCAUAAACAAAGCUAGGCUCACAUGGUCCUAUUCUGGAUCAUGGUUUUGCAAAACAGUUUGAUGAGGAUUUACUAAACAUGUGCAACAUGUUUAUCAAUAAGAGGCCCACUGCAAGGAACACAAACUGUUAGGACUUCUUCCUUCAGCACUUACAGAGGAUCACUCAAAAGGAUCCCUGCCUAUCUAAUGGAAAAUGGACUGCCACCAUGAUGGAUCAGAAAGAAAGAAAAUUGUCUCUGGGCAGGGGGCAUGGCUGGAUUUGGCUGAUGGAGAGUUCCAUUGACUUCAGAACCUGGACAGCAAGUGUUGAGUUGGCAGUUAACCGACAGUGGGUGAAGAAGUAACUGACGGGUUGGAAACGAGAUGCUGAAGGACUGACCAGGAAAAUAGCUGGUUAAAAAAAGGGUAAGGCAGAAGAAGAAAUGGUGGGCUAGAGGUAAGGAAGGGAGCUGGUGGAAGGAAGGCCGAGAAGAAAAUAAGUGUCAGAUAUUUUAUCUCUUCCUUCAGAACAGCUUCUAAGAUCAAACCCAGUCAUUUAUAUUUGCCAGAGCAAAGGUGAAAGUCCACUGUUAUCAGAGACAGAGGAACACUUAUAGCCAAAACCUUGAAAUGCCAUCAAGAAAUCCUGUAAACCAUUCUUUUCAAUUCUGUAUUUAUUUAAAAGGAUCACCUUUUGGGAAAUACUAAGUUCUCUUUACCUUUUAGUUUAA